AGUGAACGCUGGCGGUAGGCCUAACACAUGCGAGUCGAACGGCAGCACAGUAAGAGCUUGCUCUUACGGGUGGCGAGUGGCGGACGGGUGAGGAAUACAUCGGAAUCUACUUUUUCGUGGGGGAUAACGUAGGGAAACUUACGCUAAUACCGCAUACGACCUACGGGUGAAAGCAGGGGAUCUUCGGACCUUGCGCGAUUGAAUGAGCCGAUGCCGGAUUAGCUAGUUGGCGGGGUAAAGGCCCACCAAGGCGACGAUCCGUAGCUGGUCUGAGAGGAUGAUCAGCCACACUGGAACUGAGACACGGUCCAGACUCCUACGGGAGGCAGCAGUGGGGAAUAUUGGACAAUGGGCGCAAGCCUGAUCCAGCCAUACCGCGUGGGUGAAGAAGGCCUUCGGGUUGUAAAGCCCUUUUGUCGGGAAAGAAAAGCAGCAGGUUAAUACCCCGCUGUUCUGACGGUACCCAAAGAAUAAGCACCGGCUAACUUCGUG
rnacentral:rRNA from 1 species